rnacentral:rRNA from 1 species
AACGAACGCUGGCGGCAGGCUUAACACAUGCAAGUCGAGCGCCCCGCCAGGGGAGCGGCAGUCGGGUGAGUAACGCGUGGGAACGUACCUUCUGGUUAGGAACAACUCCGGUAAACUGGAGCUAAUCCCGGAUAAGCCCAAACGGGGAAAGAUUUAUCGCAGAAAGAUCGGCCCGCGUCUGAUUAGCUAGUUGGUGAGGUAACGGCUCACCAAGGCGACGAUCAGUAGCUGGUCUGAGAGGAUGAUCAGCCACACUGGGACUGAGACACGGCCCAGACUCCUACGAGGGGCAGCAGUGGGGAAUAGUAGACAAUGGGCGCACGCCUGAUCCAGCCAUGCCGCGUGAGUGAUGAAGGCGUUAGGGUUGUAAAGCUCUUUUGUCCGGGAAGAUAAUGACUGUACCGGAAGAAUAAGCCCCGGCUAACUUCG